GCCCCAGAAUAUGUGUUGGACAAAGUUUUGCUAUGGUUGAAUUGAAGCUUGUUCUGGCUAUGAUCAUUAGACGAUUCUCUUUUGUGCUGUCACCUAAAUACGUUCAUGCCCCUGUGCAGUUUCUGACAGUGCAGCCUCAACAUGGAGCACAGAUCCUCUUUAAAAGAAUCUGAAAUUGAUGAAUUUGCCGAGGGUGUUUAUUGACUGUUGUACUAAUGCAAUCCAAUAAUAUUGUACGUACUUAUUAAAGUGGGAUUUCGUUGUUUGUCUCAAU
rnacentral:misc_RNA from 1 species